rnacentral:rRNA from 1 species
AUUGAACGCUUGCGGCAGGCCUAACACAUGCAAGUCGAGCGGAUGAGUGGAGCUUGCUCCAUGAUUCAGCUGCGGACGGGUGAGUAAUGCCUAGGAAUCUGCCUGGUAGUGUGGGACAACGUUUCGAAAGGAACGCUAAUACCGCAUACGUCCUACGGGAGACAGGUGGAUAUCUUCGGACCUCAUGCCAUCAGAUUAGCCUGGGUCGGAUUAGCGAGUUUGUGAGUUACAGGCUCACCAAGGCGACGAUCCGUAACUGGUCUGAGAGGAUGAUCAGUCAAAAUGGAACUGUGAAAAGGUCAAGAAUCCCACGGGAGUGAGCAGUGGCGAAUAUUGGACAAAGGGCGAAAGCCUGAUCCAGCCAUGCAGCGUGUGUGAAGAAGGUAUUCGGAUUGUAAAGCACUUUAAGUUGGGAGAAAGAGCAGUAAGUUAAUACCUUGAUGUUUUGACGUUACCAACAGAAUAAGCACAGGCUAACUUCGUGCCAGCCGCCGCCGUAAAAA